AUUGAACGCUGGCGGCAGGCCUAACACAUGCAAGUCGAACGAGUGGCGGACGGGUGAGUAAUGUCUGGGAAAGUGCCUAAUGGAGGGGGAUAACAACUGGAAAAGGUAGCUAAUACCGCAUACCAUCGGAUGUGCCCACAUGGGAUUAGGUAGUAGGUGGGGUAAAGGCUCACCAAGGCGACGAUCCCUAGCAGGUCUGAGAGGAUGACCAGCCACACUGGAACUGAGACACGGCCCAGACUCCUACGGGAGGCAGCAGUGGGGAAUAUUGCACAAUGGGCGCAAGCCUGAUGCAGCCAUGCCGCGUGUAUGAAGAAGGCCUUCGGGUUGUAAAGUACUUUCAGCGGGGAGGCGGUACCCGAAGAAGAAGCACCGGCUAACUACGUGCCAGCAGCCGCGGUAAUUC
rnacentral:rRNA from 1 species